rnacentral:rRNA from 1 species
CUUGCUUCUCUUGAGAGCGGCGGACGGGUGAGUAAUGCCUAGGAAUCUGCCUGGUAGUGGGGGAUAACGUCCGGAAACGGACGCUAAUACCGCAUACGUCCUACGGGAGAAAGCAGGGGACCUUCGGGCCUUGCGCUAUCAGAUGAGCCUAGGUCGGAUUAGCUAGUUGGUGGGGUAAUGGCUCACCAAGGCGACGAUCCGUAACUGGUCUGAGAGGAUGAUCAGUCACACUGGAACUGAGACACGGUCCAGACUCCUACGGGAGGCAGCAGUGGGGAAUAUUGGACAAUGGGCGAAAGCCUGAUCCAGCCAUGCCGCGUGUGUGAAGAAGGUCUUCGGAUUGUAAAGCACUUUAAGUUGGGAGGAAGGGCAGUAAAUUAAUACUUUGCUGUUUUGACGUUACCGACAGAAUAAGCACCGGCUAACUCUGUGCCAGCAGCCGCGGUAAUACAGAGGGUGCAAGCGUUAAUCGGAAUUACUGGGCGUAAAGCGCGCGUAGGUGGUUCGUUAAGUUGGAUGUGAAAUCCCCGGGCUCAACCUGGGAACUGCAUUCAAAACUGACGAGCUAGAGUAUGGUAGAGGGUGGUGGAAUUUCCUGUGUAGCGGUGAAAUGCGUAGAUAUAGGAAGGAACACCAGUGGCGAAGGCGACCACCUGGACUGAUACUGACACUGAGUGCGAAAGCGUGGGGAGCAAACAGGAUUAGAUACCCUGGUAGUCCACGCCGUAAACGAUGUCAACUAGCCGUUGGGAGCCUUGA